GGCCCUAUAGGUAAAGACCCUCAAAUACAAAAAAUCAGUAUGGAUAUCAAGGUGUUGUAGGCCCUAUAGGUAAAGACCCUCAAAUACAAAAGUACAGUAUGGAUAUCAAGGUGUUGUAGGCCCUAUAGGUAAAGACCCUCAAAUACAAAAGUACAGUAUGGAUAUCAAGGUGUUGCAGGCCCUAUAGGUAAAGACCCUCAAAUACAAGAGUACAGUAUGGAUAUCAAGGUGGUGUAGGCCCUAUAGGUAAAGACCCUCAAAUACAAGAGUACAGUAUGGAUAUCAAGGUGUUGUAGGCCCUAUAGGUAAAGACCCUCAAAUACAAGAGUACAUUAUUGAUAUCAAGGUGUUGUAUGCCCUAUAGGUAAAGACCCUCAAAUAAAAGAGUACAGUAUGGAUAUCAAGGUGUUGUAGGCCCUAUAGGUAAAGACCCUCAAAUACAAGAGUACAGUAUGGAUAUCAAGGUGCUGUAGGCCCUAUAGGUAAAGACCCUCAAAUACAAGAGUACAGUGUGGAUAUCAAUGUGUUGAAGGCCCUAUAGGUAAAGACCCUCAAAUACAAGAGUACAGUAUAGAUAUCAAGGUGUUGUAUGCCCUAUAGGUAAAGACCCUCAAAUACAAGAGUACUGUGUGGAUAACAAGGUGUUGUGAACCCUGUAAUCAAGGUUAAGACCCUCAAAUAAAAGGGUACUGUGUGGAUAUCAAGGGGUUGUGAGCCCCACAAGGAAAGGUUUGGAUAAUUGUCAUAAAAAACAACAAUAAUAAACAGUAAUACAUCGCGUGCAUUUAGGUAAUGGACGUCCCCAUUCUUGUCCCGGUAAAAAGUAAAAGACUUUACAGGGACAUGAAGCAGAUGGAUACAGUUUUGGGGUGGCUGAUACAUGCAUGCGCGGGGACAACUUACAAACUUAAUAUAACUAUAUAAAAUAUAUACAUAUAUAUAUAUAACACAUGUAUAAACAUAGCUAUUGAAUGUAAGGUGUACGAAUAGUGAAAGACCACCUACGUGUGGACACUUUAUUGUUCGGGGGGCUGAUCCAGGGCUCCUCAACCCUGGCAGCCUCCAACAAUCACUGAAUAUUCGCAUAUGCAUAUGUCAAAGAUCUAUGAAAGUGAGAAUAUCAAAAUGCUGAGGGAUUAAAAUUUGUAUAUA